CAGGUCCCCAAGUUUCUCACAUCUAUCGCGACAUCCGUUGUGGGUCCCAUACCCGUUGUGACAUCACCUGUGGGUCCUCACUUACUGUGACACUCCUGUGGGUCCCACAGCCAUGGUAACAUCCCUGUAGGUCCCACAAGUGUUGAGACAUCCCCAUGGGUGACAGGAUCCAGCAUCCCAUUCCCGAAUUCUCCAGAAUUCUAGGUUCAAUUUCACAAUCCAUUCCACUCUGGCCAGGUGUGGUAAAUGGUCAGGGUUUAAUGUUCACCCCCUACACCUCCCUCCUUCCUUCCCUCCUAAACAUCCCAGGCUAAAGGGGAAACCCAUCUCCUCUCUUCCCUCUGUGCUGGCUUCUGCUGACAUCAUAACAUACCUUCAUGAGGUACUAGGGGUUGUCCCACAUCAAGAGGGGUGUCCCACAUCAAGGAGGGUCCCUGAGCCACUUCCCAGCAAGGGCUGGGGUCUGUGGGGUCUCCCCUGUGUGUAGCUGUUCGGAGCCAGGGCAGAGCAGCUCUGGUGUCACACAGCAGGGAAAGGAGAAGGAAAUGUCCCUUUUGGAAGUGAGCAAGGAAGAGAGGAAAACAGAAUUCCUAUGCACAGAUGGCAGCUUUCAAAUGCAGCCUGGUCUGGUUUCAGAGAGCAGAAAGAACGACCUCUAAUGCACUGUUCAUUUGCUGCAGGGCAGGUUCCAGACUUUGAGAGAACAGCAGAAGAGGACACUUGAAUAAAAUUCUGAGUGCAGG